UCGAGAAUCUUCGGCAAUGGACGAAAGUCUGACCGAGCGACGCCGCGUGCGGGAUGAAGGCCCUCGGGUUGUAAACCGCUGUCAGUUGGAAGGAAAUCCAUGAGGGUUCUCUCUCAUGGUUGACCGAUCUUCAGAGGAAGGACGGGCUAAGUUCGUGCCAGCAGCCGCGGUAAGACGAACCGUCCAAACGUUAUUCGGUAUCACUGGGCUUAAAGCGUGCGUAGGCGGCUUGGUAGGUGAGAUGUGAAAGCCCACGGCUCAACCGUGGAAUUGCGUUUCAAACCCCCAAGCUCGAGGAAGAUAGGGGUGAUGGGAACUUAUGGUGGAGCGGUGAAAUGCGUUGAUAUCAUAGGGAACACCGGUGGCGAAAGCGCAUCACUGGAUCUUUUCUGACGCUGAGGCACGAAAGCUAGGGUAGCGAACGGGAUUAGAUACCCCCGUAGUCC
rnacentral:rRNA from 1 species